rnacentral:lncRNA from 1 species
UCUAUUCAGAGACCAUCCCUAAAUCCUAAUGCGCCGCCCCAAUUCUCCAUCAUCUCCGGCCGGCGGCGCCACUCCCAAUCAGUCCCAAAUCAACACCACGACACCCCCAUGAUUUCUCCUCUCCCAAUCUCUAAUUAGUUUCCCCCAAACCAUUUAGAAUCUCUCGAAUCUUCAAUCUCAAAAUUGACCUAAACCCUAAAAUCCCAAAACUCCCAAAUCAUCAAAUGUCAAUAAAGAUUUAGGGUCAAAUUUGAUGUUAUUCGUGUGUUCCCGACGGGAACACAUGAUUAAUUUCAAGCUUGGUCAAAAAUUGAAAGAUUUUGAAGAUAUAUUCAUGACCACUGUCCAAGUUGUCUCUUAGGUAUUUUUCUUUUUCUUUUUUUUUUUCUAUUCGUUUAUCUUUUCUUCAUUUUUCCUUUUAUUUCUCAUACCAUCUUCUUCUGUUUCUUUUCCUUUUCUUUCUUGUUUCUGUUUCGUAAAUCACCUUGGCAUGCAUUUGUUAAUUUAGGUUUGUUUUUAAUCAACAUCUUUAUUAAUUUGUUUGAUUUAUUUAGUUUUAAUUUUUAGCUCAAAUUUCCCUCCUGUUUGGGGUUAUUUAGAACUUGUGGUUCCCAGAGUGCACAUAACACCAAGUUUCCCCUGUAUUGAUUCUUUUUCGGUUGAAUUGGGCUCUGUCAAGCAGAGGCCCAAAGAAAAGGAGAUUAUCCAGGUUUGGUAAACCCAUGUCUAUUUAGCCUUGGGUCCAAAUUGACCCAUAUCUAUGUUGGGGCAAAUAGCAGGAAUUACAAGGGUAUUUUAGGGAAUUUAGGAAAAGGAAUCUUGUAUAACUAACUUAGGAAGCUGCCUAGAAGGUGGGAUUGGGGCUGUUUUAGAAAACUGAUUUUUAAACUAAGGACCAAGUAGCAAAAACGAAAAUUUCAAAGGGAGUAAAGGGAAACAAACUUGACCCAUUUCUGCUGCCCUAAAACUUCACCAUAAAGACAUUGUUUCUUCACUAGCAAGCCAGAUUUUAGAGACUGAAAGACACUAAAAAGAACUUUAGAAACUGCUGAGUUUUUCAAAUGCAACAAUACUGGAAAAUUGCUGAAAAUUAGCUUGGGUUUUCUGGUUCUUUUGUUUCCUUCAGUUGAUUAGAGCUUCUAAGAUUUCCAAAUCGAGCAUCUGGGUUCUAAACUGGUUGAUUUAGUUUGAAAGUUUGAUUGACUUGCUGUGUGGGUACUGUUACAUUGUUGUUGUCCUGCUGUUGUUGCAUUCCCUCACUCCCUUUGCUUUUCUCUUGGUUUUUCCAGGUACUUUUGGGAACUAUGGAAAUCACUUGAGUGUAAUAUGGAAUUUGGAAUUGGAAAUGUGAUAAAAUCAGUGUUGUUUGCUGCUGAAUUUCAUUUCUCAAUCUUUCAAUCUCAGUUACGGUUAUAAUAUUCAGCUCUAGGAAUAUUUUGUUAGCUUAUUUCAUGAUUAUGAAUGUGGUGUCUUAGCGUUAAUUUGAAGUUUAAGCUAUCUGAUUCUCUUGCUUUAGUUGUCCGUUUGGCUGAAACUUGCUAUAGGUGAAAGAAAAUUCCCUGUGUGUUUGCAUUAACAGUCAAGCAUGUGUUGAAUCGAUUAGUUUGUACUUGAAUUUUAUUGGACUUGGUGUUUAAUCUCGGGGCUGUCUAAUUUCAAUUUCUAGUUUUCUGUUGAUAUGGUGUCAGGAAAGUUAAUUGAAAUUUUAAUUUUCGUAUUAUUGUUUAGUUUGGGAUUAAAAUUGAAGUUAAAUGUUAGACAGUUUUGUG